rnacentral:rRNA from 1 species
UGUGAAAUACAAAUCGGACUAGGAUAUAGCUGGUUUUCUGCGAAAUUUGUUUUAGCAAAGAGUUUAUAAUAACAUUAUUAGUGGGUAUAGCACUGAGUAUUUUUAAGAAGGAGUACUAGUAAUACUUAUUUCGAAUACUUAAUCUCAAAAUAACUAAUAAGUAAUUAAAAUAAGCUUUCAAACUAUAUGCGAUAAGGUAUAUAGUCUAAAGGGAAACAGCCCAAAACAGUAAUUAAAGCUCCCCAAUUAUUAUUAAGUGAAAUAAAGGAAGUUAUUCUUUUGAGACAGUCAAGAAGGGGGCU